UACGUAGGGUGCGAGCGUUGUCCGGAAUUAUUGGGCGUAAAGGGCUCGUAGGCGGUUUGUCGCGUCGGGAGUGAAAACCUCGGGCUUAACUCGGGGCUUGCUUUCGAUACGGGCAGACUGGAGGUAUGCAGGGGAGAACGGAAUUCCUGGUGUAGCGGUGAAAUGCGCAGAUAUCAGGAGGAACACCGGUGGCGAAGGCGGGUCUCUGGGCAAUAACUGACGCUGAGGAGCGAAAGCGUGGGGAGCGAACAGG
rnacentral:rRNA from 1 species